rnacentral:rRNA from 1 species
CAGUCGCCGCGGUAAUACGGAGGGUGCAAGCGUUAUCCGGAUUUAUUGGGUUUAAAGGGUCCGUAGGCGGAUCUGUAAGUCAGUGGUGAAAUCUCACAGCUUAACUGUGAAACUGCCAUUGAUACUGCAGGUCUUGAGUAAAUUUGAGGUGGCUGGAAUAAGUAGUGUAGCGGUGAAAUGCAUAGAUAUUACUUAGAACACCAAUUGCGAAGGCAGGUCACUAAGAUUUAACUGACGCUGAUGGACGAAAGCGUGGGGAGCGAACAGGAUUAGAUACCCCAGUAGUCCCUGUCUCUUAUAA